UGCCAGCAGCCGCGGUAAUACGUAGGGGGCUAGCGUUGUCCGGAUUUACUGGGCGUAAAGAGCGCGCAGGCGGCCACCGCAAGUCGGUCGUGAAAUCCCUCGGCUCAACCGGGGGGCGUCGGUCGAUACUGCGGGGCUUGGAAGGCGGUAGGGGGAGAUGGAAUUCCCGGUGUAGUGGUGAAAUGCGUAGAUAUCGGGAGGAACACCGAUGGCGAAAGCGAUCUCCUGGGCCGUUCUUGACGCUGAGGCGCGAAAGCGUGGGGAGCGAACUGAAUUAGAUACUCAGGUAGUCCACGCCCUAAACGAUGGACACUAGGUGUGGGGGGUAUCGACCCCUCCCGUGCCGCAGCUAACGCAAUAAGUGUCCCGCCUGGGGAGUACGGCCGCAAGGCUAAAACUCAAAGGAAUUGACGGGGGCCCGCACAAGG
rnacentral:rRNA from 1 species